CCUACGGGCAGCAGUGGGGAAUAUUGCACAAUGGGGGAAACCCUGAUGCAGCCAUGCCGCGUGUGUGAAGAAGGCCUUCGGGUUGUAAAGCACUUUCAGUAGGGAGGAAGGUAGUGUAGUUAACACCUGCAUUAUUUGACGUUACCUACAGAAGAAGCACCGGCUAACUCCGUGCCAGCAGCCGCGGUAAUACGGAGGGUGCGAGCGUUAAUCGGAAUUACUGGGCGUAAAGCGCAUGCAGGCGGCCUGUUAAGUCAGAUGUGAAAGCCCGGGGCUUAACCUCGGAAUUGCAUUUGAAACUGGCAGGCUAGAGUCUUGUAGAGGGGGGUAGAAUUUCAGGUGUAGCGGUGAAAUGCGUAGAGAUCUGGAGGAAUACCGGUGGCGAAGGCGGCCCCCUGGACGAAGACUGACGCUCAGGUGCGAAAGCGUGGGGAGCAAACAGGAUUAGAUACCCCCGUAGUC
rnacentral:rRNA from 1 species